rnacentral:misc_RNA from 1 species
UCUGGUACUCUCGUAGGGCGG